GCAGCUGUAGCUCAGUUGGCUAGAGUGUUCGCCUGAUAAGCGAAAGGUCAGAGGUUCGAUCCCUCUCAGCUGUGCCA
rnacentral:tRNA from 1 species